rnacentral:lncRNA from 1 species
UCGCCAAGUUCCUCACUACAUGGUCAGAGAUAUCGAGGAAACAGCCGGUUUCUUGUGAACCAGACCACCGGAGAAACCUCCUCUUGCCGCGCUCUCCUCUGCGUUACCACCCUCUCUUAGACAAAACAUUCAUAAAAUGCAGCGUGGAGGAGAUCAAGAACAUACCAACCCCCAAAACGCUCAUCAAGCGUCUCUAUCACAUCAAUGCUUCGAGUAUAAACGCGUUGCAAGAUCUAGCUAAUGUAAACGGAGAGAGCAGGACGAAGAUCGAAGCUUUCUCUGCUUAUGUCUGGAAGAAAAUGGUGGAUUCUAUAGAGAGCGGUCACAAAACGUGCAAGAUGGGUUGGCUGGUUGACGGUAGAGGAAGACUAGAGACCGUUGCCUCUAGCUACAUAGGAAACGUCUUGUCUAUAGCUGUCGGUGAAGCCCCCAUUGAAAAUCUGAAGCAAAACAAAGUGUCGGAGAUAGCAAAGAUAGUGCAUGAGUCGAUUACUGAAGUGACAAACAAUACUCAUUUCACAGAUUUGAUAGAUUGGAUUGAGAGUCACCGACCUGGACUGAUGUUAGCUCGGGUGGUUUUGGGACAAGAAGGGCCAGCUUUGGUCUUGUCUUCAGGAAGGCGGUUCCCUGUGGCUGAGUUGGAUUUUGGGUUUGGUGCACCUGUUCUUGGGACCGUGUGUUCAACGGUUGAGAAAAUAGG